AACACAUGCAAGUCGAGGGGCAGCGGGGCCGUAGCAAUACGGCUGCCGGGCGACCGGCGCACGGGUGAGUAACACGUUAUGCAACCCACCCUCAGCAGGGGGAUAACCCGGAGAAAAUCCGGCCUAAUACCGCGUAGUCCAUACAUGAGACAUCUCGUGUAUGGUAAAGGAGUGAUCCGGCUGAGGACGGGCAUGCGUCGCAUUAGGUAGACGGCGGGGUAACGGCCCACCGUGCCGACGAUGCGUAGGGGUUCUGAGAGGAAGGCCCCCCACACUGGUACUGAGACACGGACCAGACUCCUACGGGAGGCAGCAGUGAGGAAUAUUGGUCAAUGGCCGUGAGGCUGAACCAGCCAAGUCGCGUGAGGGAUGACUGUCCUAUGGAUUGUAAACCUCUUUUGCCGGGGAGCAAAACGGUCCUGCGGGGCCCGAUUGAGAGUACCCGGAGAAAAAGCAUCGGCUAACUCCGUGCCAGCAGCCGCGGUAAUACGGAGGAUGCGAGCGUUAUCCGGAAUUUAUUGGGUUUAAAGGGUGCGCAGGCGGCUCGUCAAGCAAGCGGUAAAAUCGCGGGGCUCAACCCCGCCCCNAGCCGUUUGAACUGGGCGGGCUUGAGUACAUUCGAGGUAUGCGGAAUUUCGUGGUGUAGCGGUUGAAAUGCAUAGAUAU
rnacentral:rRNA from 1 species